rnacentral:rRNA from 1 species
ACACUCCUACGGGAGGCAGCAGUGGGGAAUUUUGGACAAUGGGCGAAAGCCUGAUCCAGCAAUGCCGCGUGCAGGAUGAAGGCCUUCGGGUUGUAAACUGCUUUUGUACGGAACGAAAAAGCUCCUUCUAAUACAGGGGGCCCAUGACGGUACCGUAAGAAUAAGCACCGGCUAACUACGUGCCAGCAGCCGCGGUAAUACGUAGGGUGCGAGCGUUAAUCGGAAUUACUGGGCGUAAAGCGUGCGCAGGCGGUUAUGUAAGACAGAUGUGAAAUCCCCGGGCUCAACCUGGGAACUGCAUUUGUGACUGCAUGGCUAGAGUACGGUAGAGGGGGAUGGAAUUCCGCGUGUAGCAGUGAAAUGCGUAGAUAUGCGGAGGAACACCGAUGGCGAAGGCAAUCCCCUGGACCUGUACUGACGCUCAUGCACGAAAGCGUGGGGAGCAAACAGGAUUAGAUACCCUGGUAGUCCCAUG